rnacentral:rRNA from 1 species
UCGUGAGGGAUGACGGCCUAUGGGUUGUAAACCUCUUUUUUCAGGGAGGAAUAAAAUGACGUGUACCUGAAGAAUAAGCAUCGGCUAACUCCGUGCCAGCAGCCGCGGUAAGACGGAGGAUGCAAGUGUUAUCCGGAAUUAUUGGGCGUAAAGCGUCCGUAGGUGGUUUACUAAGUCAACUGUUAAAUCUUGAGGCUCAACUUCAAAAUCGCAGUCGAAACUAGUAGACUAGAGUAUAGUAGGGGUAAAGGGAAUUUCCAGUGGAGCGGUGAAAUGCGUAGAGAUUGGAAAGAACACCGAUGGCGAAUGCACUUUACUGGGCUAUUACUGACACUCAGAGACGAAAGCUAGGGUAUCAAAUGGGAUUAUAUACCCCAGUA